UGGGGAAUAUUGCGCAAUGGGGGGAACCCUGACGCAGCCAUGCCGCGUGAAUGAAGAAGGCCUUAGGGUUGUAAAGUUCUUUCGGUAUUGAGGAAGGUUGAUGUGUUAAUAGCACAUCAAAUUGACGUUAAAUACAGAAGAAGCACCGGCUAACUCCGUGCCAGCAGCCGCGGUAAUACGGAGGGUGCGAGCGUUAAUCGGAAUAACUGGGCGUAAAGGGCACGCAGGCGGUUAUUUAAGUGAGGUGUGAAAGCCCUGGGCUUAACCUGGGAAUUGCAUUUCAGACUGGGUAACUAGAGUACUUUAGGGAGGGGUAGAAUUCCACGUGUAGCGGUGAAAUGCGUAGAGAUGUGGAGGAAUACCGAAGGCAAAGGCAGCCCCUUGGGAAUGUACUGACGCUCAUGUGCGAAAGCGUGGGGAGCAAACAGGAUUAGAUACCCUGGUAGUCCACGCUGUAAACGCUGUCGAUUUGGGGGUUGGGGUUUAACUUUGGCGCCCGUAGCUNACGUGAUAAAUCGACCGCCUGGGGAGUACGGCCGCAAGGNUA
rnacentral:rRNA from 1 species